UGACAACCCAGAUUCUAUUAUCUCAUUUAUUAUCUAUUUUUGGAAUUUACCGGUAACUCUAACCUCCAGGAGAUGUUUCCCAGUGAAAGAGGAUCUGCUGGAGAUUCUUUUGAGAAAUGGUUUCUUGAUGGACUUUUGUUAGAGUUGUUGCAAGGUGAUGAAUAGACAAACUAGAACAAGAAUGAUUGGUCCUUGUUAUAAGAAAAAAAACACACAUUUAGCUUCUUAAGAGUACAUGUUGGAGAGAAUAAAUGGCAUCCUUAAAAGCCUUUAAAAGGACAAUAACUUUAUGAAGAGAUAAUCUCAUGUUUGAGAACAUAUGAUAAGGCGUUUUUCAUUUGUUUUAAUAUCAUAAAGACAAGCAUCUCUGACUGAUAAAGGGGAUGUAACCAGCCCACAAAGUCUGCAAAACCUAAAUCCACACACAUCUGUGCAGGACAGAGGAGCUUAUUACAAUAUUCAGUUUUCCUGCUGGGAAAAUUUGAAUCUGGAAGUACUACUAAAGAGACAUGCAAGGAGCACAUGAGUCAUGACAGUUCUGACGCCACGCUCAUGGUUACUGACUCGCAGGUGCUGGAGCAUUGGAGCACAGCGAAAAACCUGAAGUCACUCCCACUCUGGGAUGGUACAAUUCACAAAGCAGCAUUGUUCCCUGGAAUCUUGCUAACUGGAUGUCAACCCAGAUGUAUUUUUCAAUAUAUUUAACAAUAUCUGACCUGGAUCUCGGCAAGAGGAGAAGUA
rnacentral:lncRNA from 1 species